rnacentral:rRNA from 1 species
UACGGGGGGGGCAAGCGUUGUUCGGAAUUACUGGGCGUAAAGGGUUCGUAGGUGGCCAACUCAGUCAGACGUGAAAUCCCUCAGCUCAACUGGGGAACUGCGUCUGAUACUAGAUGGCUCGAGUGCAGGAGAGGAACGCGGAAUUCCAGGUGUAGCGGUGAAAUGCGUAGAUAUCUGGAGGAACACCGGUGGCGAAGGCGGCGUUCUGGACUGCAACUGACACUGAGGAACGAAAGCGUGGGGAGCAAACAGG